GUUGCGUUUAAAACCACUGGAUCAAAGUGGCUACAGCCCGUCAGUGAAUAUUUGGGCUUUCCUCUUGAUCAGGUGAAUUUUUUGGCGUGCCAGCUCUUUGCCUUGGGUGCUGCCUUCUGGUUUCGUCUCUACCUCAGUCCUAGCCAUGCCAACCCCCUGGUCAGGCACGCUGUGGCCACUCUUCUUGGCAUUGCCUUUCUCAUCCUCUGCUUUGGAUGGUACUCCGCUCACAUCCUCACAGUGGUGGUUGCAAGCUACUUGAUUAUAAUCCAAGCUGACAUCAACAAUGUACACAGGU